rnacentral:rRNA from 1 species
UGCAUAUCAAUAAGCGGAGGAAAAGAAACCAACAGGGAUUGCCCUAGUAACGGCGAGUGAAGCGGCAACAGCUCAAAUUUGAAAGCUGGCUCCGGCCCGCGUUGUAAUUUGCAGAGGAUGCUUCUGGUGAGGUGCCUUCCGAGUUCCCUGGAACGGGACGCCAUAGAGGGUGAGAGCCCCGUAUGGAUGGACACCAAACCUGUGUGAAGCUCCUUCAACGAGUCGAGUAGUUUGGGAAUGCUGCUCUAAAUGGGAGGUAAAUCUCUUCUAAAGCUAAAUACCGGCCAGAGACCGAUAGCGCACAAGUAGAGUGAUCGAAAGAUGAAAAGCACCUUGAAAAGGGGGUUAAACAGUACGUGAAAUUGUUGAAAGGGAAGCGCUUGUGACCAGACUUGCGCCGGGCAGCUCAUCAGGGGUUCUCCCCUGUGCACUCUGCCCGGCUCAGGCCAGCAUCGGUUCUCGUGGGAGGAUAAGAACGGUUGGAACGUGGCCCCCCUCCGGGGGGGUGUUAUAGCCUACCGUACGAUACUCCCGUGGGGACCGAGGUUCGCGCUCCGCAAGGAUGCUGGCGUAAUGGUCAUCAGCGACCCGUCUUGAAACACGGAC